rnacentral:rRNA from 1 species
CACGUAGGGGGCAAGCGUUGUCCGGAAUCAUUGGGCGUAAAGCGCGUGUAGGCGGCUCGAUAAGUCUGCUGUGAAAGUCCAGGGCUCAACCCUGGGACGCCGGUGGAUACUGUCGAGCUCGAGUCCGGAAGAGGCGAGUGGAAUUCCUGGUGUAGCGGUGAAAUGCGCAGAUAUCAGGAGGAACACCAGUGGCGAAGGCAGCGCGCUGGGACGUGACUGACGCUGAAACGCGAAAGCGUGGGGAGCAAACAGG